rnacentral:rRNA from 1 species
AGUUUGAUCCUGGCUCAGAUUGAACGCUGGCGGCAUGCUUUACACAUGCAAGUCGAACGGGGUUAAGGGGCUUGCUCCUUAAUCUAGUGGCGAACGGGUGAGUAAUGCAUCGGAACGUACCCGGGAGUGGGGGAUAACGCACCGAAAGGUGUGCUAAUACCGCAUAUUCUGUGAGCAGGAAAGCAGGGGACCUUAGGGCCUUGUGCUUCCGGAGCGGCCGAUGUCGGAUUAGCUAGUUGGUGAGGUAAAGGCUCACCAAGGCGACGAUCCGUAGCGGGUCUGAGAGGAUGAUCCGCCACACUGGGACUGAGACACGGCCCAGACUCCUACGGGAGGCAGCAGUGGGGAAUUUUGGACAAUGGGCGCAAGCCUGAUCCAGCCAUGCCGCGUGUCUGAGAAGGCUU